UACGUAGGGUGCAAGCGUUAAUCGGAAUUACUGGGCGUAAAGCGUGCGUAGGCGGCUAUGUAAGACAGAUGUGAAAUCCCUGGGCUUAACCUAGGAACUGCAUUUGUGACUGCAUAGCUGGAGUGUGGUAGAGGGAGAUGGAAUUCCGCAUGUAGCAGUGAAAUGCGUAGAUAUGCGGAGGAACACCAAUGGCGAAGGCAAUCUCCUGGACCUGCACUGACGCUCAUGCACGAAAGCGUGGGGAGCAAACAGG
rnacentral:rRNA from 1 species